AUAGAUUGUCGAAGUAGAGAGAAAAGAUCAGCACGGUAGCGGCUUUUCACCCACGAAGGAACCAUUACACAAACGAAGUCGUCUUGAAUGUCAAACGUGUGGAAAAUCGUUCUCAAGAAAAGAUGCCUUGAAACGGCACGAGAAGGUUCAUCAAAAAGAGAAAAAUCAUCAAUGCGGACAAUGUGGGAAGAACUUCAGCCGUCGGGACUACUUAAAAAAGCAUCAGAAAGUUCACGAGAAACAUAAAUUGCAUAAACAUAGUGUUGAGCGUGAGUAUAAAUGUUUAACCUGCGGACAAACGUUUAGUUCAGUUGGACAAUUCAAAUCCCACCAGAAGUCAGUCCACUCUUUGGCUAAACAAACACCCCAAGUUGAGAAACGAAAGCGAAGCCAAGUAGAUGAUCAGUCAA